rnacentral:rRNA from 1 species
UACGUAGGGUCCGAGCGUUGUCCGGAAUUAUUGGGCGUAAAGGGCUCGUAGGCGGUUUGUCGCGUCGGGAGUGAAAACACGGGGCUUAACCCCGUGCCUGCUUCCGAUACGGGCAGACUAGAGGUAUGCAGGGGAGAACGGAAUUCCAGGUGUAGCGGUGAAAUGCGUAGAUAUCUGGAGGAACACCGGUGGCGAAGGCGGCAUCCUGGACCGGCAUUGACGCUGAGGAGCGAAAGCCAGGGGAGCAAACGGG